AUUGAACGCUGGCGGCAGGCUUAACACAUGCAAGUCGAGCGGAGAUGAGGUGCUUGCACCUUAUCUUAGCGGCGGACGGAUGAGUAAUGCUUAGGAAUCUGCCAUUUAGUGGGGGACAACAUUCCGAAAGGAAUGCUAAUACCGCAUACGUCCUACGGGAGAAAGCAGGGGAUCUUCGGACCUUGCGCUAAAUGAUGAGCCUAAGUCGGAUUAGCUAGUUGGUGGGGUAAAGGCCUACCAAGGCGACGAUCUGUAGCGGGUCUGAGAGGAUGGUCCGCGACACUGGGACUGAGGCACGGCCCAGACUCCUACGGGAGGCAGCAGUGGGGAAUAUUGGACAAUGGGCGGAAGCCUGAUCCAGCCAUGCCGCGUGUGUGAAGAAGGCCUUUUGGUUGUAAAGCACUUUAAGCGAGGAGGAGGCUACUAGUACUAAUACUACUGGAUAGUGGACGUUACUCGCAGAAUAAGCACCGGCUAACUCUGUGCCAGCCGCCGCGGUAAUAC
rnacentral:rRNA from 1 species